GGAUGGCAGAAGCAGGCAAAGGUCCCCAACCCCUUAAGGACACACGACAGAAAUACUCCGUCAUGAUUCCCUUAAAUUCCAGAAGUUGUGUCCCCAAGGGGCUAAAGACCCUCUUACCUGCUACUCCGUUCCCAAUUGCACCCAAACUUCUGACACCAGUUUGUUGGGGAUAAAAUCAGCCUGGGCCCUUUGUGGAUGAUGGAUAUUUGCCAACUCAUACAGAGCUCUGGAAAUUGGAAAUGAAUAGCAGAGACGUG
rnacentral:lncRNA from 1 species